rnacentral:lncRNA from 1 species
AACAUCGAAAACUAUUACUAGAUCGUAACAUCAAUUAGUACCAAAAUUAUUCUUGUACUACCAGCUUAGAUUUGAACCUAUGAGAUCACAUACAUAAAAGUACCGUCUGAUCAAAUGGCUAAUCGAUGAUUAUGAAUCUUUGAAAGGUUUAAUUAUCAAUAUGAUUGACAAUUAACCCUAUGCAAAGGUUGUAAUAAAUUAUUUACCAAUGAUUGAUAAAUUAGAGAAAUAGUUAAUUAAC